rnacentral:rRNA from 1 species
GGUUGGAAAUCAUUCAUAGAGUGUAAAGGCAUAAGGGAGCUUGACUGCGAGACCUACAAGUCGAGCAGGGUCGAAAGACGGACUUAGUGAUCCGGUGGUUCCGCAUGGAAGGGCCAUCGCUCAACGGAUAAAAGCUACCCCGGGGAUAACAGGCUUAUCUCCCCCAAGAGUUCACAUCGACGGGGAGGUUUGGCACCUCGAUGUCGGCUCAUCGCAUCCUGGGGCUGUAGUCGGUCCCAAGGGUUGGGCUGUUCGCCCAUUAAAGCGGUACGCGAGCUGGGUUCAGAACGUCGUGAGACAGUUCGGUCCCUAUCCGUCGUGGGCGUAGGAAAUUUGAGAGGAGCUGUCCUUAGUACGAGAGGACCGGGAUGGACAUACCUCUGGUGUACCAGUUGUCGUGCCAACGGCAUAGCUGGGUAGCUAUGUGUGGACGGGAUAAGUGCUGAAAGCAUCUAAGCAUGAAGCCCCCCUCAAGAUGAGAUUUCCCAACUUCGGUUAUAAGAUCCCUCAAAGAUGAUGAGGUUAAUAGGUUCGAGGUGGAAGCAUGGUGACAUGUGGAGCUGACGAAUACUAAUCGAUCGAAGACUUAAUCAAAA